rnacentral:tRNA from 1 species
ACCUGGGUGGCUUAGCUGGUUAAGCAUCUGACUUCAGCUCAGGUCAUGUUCUCCCAGCGUGGGUUCAAGUCCCGCAUCAGGUG